rnacentral:rRNA from 1 species
GUAGGUGGCAAGCGUUGUCCGGAAUUAUUGGGCGUAAAGCGCGCGCAGGCGGUUCUUUAAGUCUGAUGUGAAAGCCCACGGCUCAACCGUGGAGGGUCAUUGGAAACUGGAGAACUUGAGUACAGAAGAGGAAAGCGGAAUUCCACGUGUAGCGGUGAAAUGCGUAGAGAUGCGGAGGAACACCAGUGGCGAAGGCGGCUUUUCUGGUCUGUAACUGACGCUGAGGCGCGAAAGCGUGGGGAGCAAACAGGGAUUAGAUACCCUGGUAGUCCACGCCGUAAACGAUGAGUGCUAAGUGUUAGGGGGUUUCCGCCCCCUUAGUGCUGCAGCUAACGCAUUAAGCACUCCGCCUGGGGAGUACGGCCGCAAGGCUG